GGCCGGUUGGCGUAAUGGCAACGCGUCAGUUUCCGGCAACAUGCUUAGUUGGAACUGCUGAAGAUUGCGGGUUCGAGUCCCGUGCUGGUCG